CUUUGUGUUCAUGUGCAUUCAAUGUUUAGCUGCCACUUAUAGGUGAGAACAUGUAGUAUUUGGUUUUCUCUUUCGUUUAGCUCAUUUAGGAUAGUGGCCUCCAGCUCUAUCCACGUUCUGACAAAGAAAACCUUGUUGGGAGUUUGAUUAGACGGCUGAGAAAGACAGCAAAUCUACAGGGUUUGUCAAAGAUAAGAUCGUUGUCAUGGCAUGAAAAGGAUGACCUUUCCAGUCUGCAAUACCUGCUUGACCACUAAGACCAAACAGCUCAAAUUAAAGCUUUCCUUGGCCAUGGUGACUGAGUCAAGGACAGACUCAUAAUCUAAGGCAAAGCAAUAAGUCAUCAGGAGACUCAAUACCUGCGUGUCUCUCAACCAUUGGAAAAAGUGAAUAUUCUUUGUAUCUGGAUGUGAAUGAGAAAAUACACAACCCCAGGAGCUGCUAGAACCCAUCUUGAGUUUG
rnacentral:lncRNA from 1 species